rnacentral:rRNA from 1 species
GAUUAUGGCUCAGAAUCAACGCUGGCGGCGUGCCUAACACAUGCAAGUCGGACGAGAAAGUGGGGGCAACCCUGCGAGUACAGUGGCAGACGGGUGAGUAACACGUGAACAACCUACCCUUGAGUGGGGAAUAACACCGCGAAAGCGGUGCUAAUACCGCAUAAAAUUUUCAGGCUGCAUGGUCUGGAGAUCAAAAGCGCAAGUUGCUUGAGGAGGGGUUCGCGGCUGAUUAGCUAGUUGGUGAGGUAACGGCCCACCAAGGCAACGAUCAGUAGCCGGCCUGAGAGGGCGAACGGCCACACUGGAACUGAGACACGGUCCAGACUCCUACGGGAGGCAGCAGUGGGGAAUUUUGCGCAAUGGGCGAAAGCCUGACGCAGCCAACGCCGCGUGGAGGAUGAAGGCCUUCGGGUCGUAAACUCCUGUCGAUGGGGACGAAGUUCCGAAAGGGAUUGACUGUACCCGUUGAGGAAGCCACGGCUAACUCCGUGCCAGCAGCCGC